AUUGUGCGGCUUCCCAGAGUGUUUCCCACGCAGCUCGGAGAUGGCAACGGUCACGGAGCAGGCGGUCCAGCCGGCAGCACACUUGGCAGCUCGCUCGGGGAGCGGACUUCCGCGCCUGGACAGAGAAAGAGCGCUCUUCCUACGGCCCACCUGAUUGGAAGUUCAUGGAGCCCGCUGAUUGGCUCCUGCUCCAUUGACCGCCCUCCGAGCUAAGAGUGACAGCGAAACCAAAUCCCUAACAGUGUGAGUGGACCCAAGUGACAGAUUGUAACCCAGAGACUUCUAGACCAGUGUCUCUGCCAGAAUGUCGCCUGACCUGCAUGUAAGCAGAGUUUGCUGUGGGCUUUGCAGGGAUGCUCCGGGUACCUGACUGGAUUCCGUGAGCUCUUCCUGUGCGUUGCUCCUGAAAGAAGGAUCACACGUGUGCGCAGACAUUUCCAGGGUCAGCAGCCAUGGAGGUGACCCCUGAUGUCAGGAGUCCAGGACAGCCUCGAAAAAUAAAUAAAUAUAUGCCAAAGAAUUUCUACUCAAGAAAUGAAGAAAGUAGAAUUAAAUGAAGGCAGUAUUCUACAGAGGAGUCAGGAUGAAAUAAAACCAAACAUUUCAACUGCUUCAGACAGGAUGUUUCUGCUUUAAAGAAAAUCAACCACACACUGCAAGAGUAAAUACAAGUAAACACAUAGAAUAUUAUGUUAUGUAUCAUACUCCAGGAAUUCUGACACAAGAACUUCUCAGGCCCUUGAAAACUCUGAAGUGAAAAUCCUGCACUUUGUGUGAUAAUCAGAUGGCUAGUGGUCAGGGUACUGUUGGUAGUUUCUCAUGAAAAAUGAUCUGAAAUCCAGAAAGACCAAGGAAUGCUCAAAAGCUGGAACUUGUGAAACUCACGUUUAUAACUGGGAAGUAGGUUGAAAGUUUAAGCCUCACCUAUUGUACCUGUGAAAAGCAGGAAAGAGGUUAAGACUUAGUUCAUAAUGAAAACAAAAAGCCUAUGUUUGUGUCAAUAUACCAGGAAAUUAUUCACUUGUAAGGGAGGCUAUUGUCUUCAUUCUAUGACAUUUAGCCUCAUCCUUGUCUAAACCUACAAGAUGCUAGUAAAUUCCACUCCUUUAUGCUGUGACAAAAAAAAGAGACACAUCUAUAUGUUUCCUGAGGACCAGAAUCCAUCCUGAUUGAAAAUCACUAACUGAGCAUCUAUGUGGGCUGAUUGAAAAGACACCCAGGUUGCUUCUCAACCAAGAGGAUUUCUCCAUUUCUCUACCUCCACACCACAAAUCAAGACGGGUCUUUCUUCCCAAAUUACUUCAACUCUGCCACUGCACCUCCACACUCCUUGUCCCACCCAUACGGGCUGCUUUAUAGAAUGUGGCUAGCUUGAGAAGGCCAAAGAAAAAAGAGGCCUUCACUGCUGCAGUGUGCUCUAUCACUGCUGUGUACUUUGCCACAAAGCCCUUGCAAUGGCCUUCUCCACAGAGUCAACCUGAAAACUGGUUGGGAAUCCCACGGCAUUCACAGAAAAUUCAGGGAUUGCAGGCUCUUCUUGAGCCCAUAACCAGGCUUCCUGCCAACCCUCCCUCCUCAGAGAGUGCACAGCUUCAGCACAGGAUGAGCAGCUUUUAGGCUUGGUGGACACUGGAUUGAAUGAGAUACCUUCACCUCCUUGCCAUCAAGGCAGGGUAUGAGAGGGGACAGGAGUUGCAAUAACAAAGAUUGUGAAGCCAGGGUUUUGCCCUGAGGUGUGAUAGCUAGAAGGUUUUCUAGAAUCAUGUUAAUUCUGACCUUACAUAAGAAGAGUGGUUGCUUUUGGGCAAUUCAGACACUAUUUAUCUUGUGGCAAAUUGGUUAGCCACGUGUCUCUGCUCAGACAACUUUAGUGCUAUCCUUUUUCUGGGUGAUGCAAUCCAGACAGUCUGAUAAGGGUGGUGUACCUGUAGCAGACACCUCUGCCCAGUAGUAUCAGGCUAUAGUGGUACAAGCUUCUUGCCCUUCCAUAAUUCAGCUGUGUUACACUGGGAGUAGUGCAAUCAGCUAAGUUCACUUCCAGCUGAGGUCAACCUGGCUCCGGCUAAAUUCCUCCCCUCUGGGACCAAAGAUAUGCUUGUGCCCUCAUUCUACAGUCCUGCCUGCUUGAUACUUGUUAUCAGCAGGUGUCCCGAUGCCUGCCCAGAUUCCCCUCUUCCCACACUUGAAAUGAAUAAACACUCGAUGCCCUGGGACUUCUUUGUCUUUCCUGCCCAGAGCAGCUUAGAUCAGCCCAUGACUCAGUUUCUCUCAAGUCUCUGACUCUGUGUUUCUUUCAAUUCCCACUUUCCUAUCUCACAGACUUCAAAUUGGCUUGCAGGAGGCCAGGACCACGGCAGGGGUCUCUGGCAACUCCCAUUACCCUUUCCCUAUAGUACCUAUGUGUUUUAAUAACAAUGAACAGAGUCAUGCCCCCUUAUCUGAGAGGUGUAUGUUUCAAUAUCCCCACUGUAUGCCUCCAGCAGUGGAUAAUAAUAAACCCGGUGGUGCUGGGAGUGAUGCACUGUAGAUCACGGAGGGUGUGGUGGAGCAAGGCCUGGCCCAGAAGAGGACUAUCUUCCUUCCCACCCAUUCCCCAGAGAAACCUCAAGCGUUAUCUCCUGCAGACCCUAGCCAUUCUCCCUGUUCCAAUCAGUCAUCCCCUUUUGGGUUCCUUAUCUACACUAUAAAUAAAGGUGCUGAGGAUUCGAGCCAAGCUUUUUGUCUCAUCUGGAGAAAGAGUUUCCACCUGGCCUCAGCUAUGUAAACUUUGCUGUCAUCUUUGUCUUCUUCUUUGUCUUAUCUUUAAGUUCCUUAAUCUCUUAUCAUAGUUUCUCACUCUGUGAACUCUUGAGCCACACAGCUCCUGUGGCACCAGGCUUCUUUUCUCUACAUACAUAUCUAUGAUAAAAUUUAAUUGAUAAAUUGUGCAUAGGUAGAUACUGUGAAGGUUCAACUUGGUGAAUAGAGGAGGAGCUAGGUCAGAAAGACUCAGAGAAAAUCAACUAGAAACAGGUGAUUUGAGCAGGGGAGGUACGUACACCCUGAUCCAAAGAACCAAUUUAAAGGAGACAUUUGUAGAUCAAACAAAACCUAUGCACAGGAGUUAAGAAGAGGGGGAGCUGUCCACCAGGGUUGGUAAACUGGCCCCUUCCCUCACCCACACCAGGGACAACCAUUCUGAGAACCUCUCAUAUAGCUGGAGGGAUCCGAGCAGCACAGAAGAGUCUAGUCCGAUGGUGGUGAACCUGUGACCAGGUUGCCCCAGCCAAGGUUUGACAAAUUAUCAGCUUGCCUACAACAGCUAAGAUCACCUUCACUGUGCAAAAGCACG